CAGCCAAGUCAGCAGCUGCCCCUUCCCCGC
rnacentral:piRNA from 1 species